rnacentral:rRNA from 1 species
UACGAAGGGGGCGAGCGUUAUUCGGAAUCACUGGGCGUAAAGGGUGCGUAGGCGGGUUUUUAAGUCAGGGGUGAAAUCCUGGAGCUCAACUCCAGAACUGCCUUUGAUACUGAAGAUCUUGAGUCCGGGAGAGGUGAGUGGAACUGCGAGUGUAGAGGUGAAAUUCGUAGAUAUUCGCAAGAGCACCAGUGGCGAAGGCGGCUCACUGGCCCGGUACUGACGCUGAGGCACGAAAGCGUGGGGAGCAAACAGG